UACGAAGGGGGCUAGCGUUGCUCGGAUUGACUGGGCGUAAAGGGCGCGUAGGCGGUUCGUACUGUCAGACGUGAAAUUCCUGGGCUCAACCUGGGGGCUGCGUUUGAUACGUGCGGACUUGAGUGCGGAAGAGGGUCGUGGAAUUCCCAGUGUAGAGGUGAAAUUCGUAGAUAUUGGGAAGAACACCGGUGGCGAAGGCGGCGACCUGGUCCGAUACUGACGCUGAGGCGCGAAAGCGUGGGGAGCAAACAGG
rnacentral:rRNA from 1 species